rnacentral:rRNA from 1 species
UACGUAGGGUGCAAGCGUUGUCCGGAAUUAUUGGGCGUAAAGAGCUCGUAGGCGGUUUGUCGCGUCUGCUGUGAAAACUCGGGGCUUAACUCCGGGCCUGCAGUGGGUACGGGCAGACUAGAGUGCGGUAGGGGAGACUGGAAUUCCUGGUGUAGCGGUGAAAAUGCGCAGAUAUCAGGAAGAACACCCGUGGCGAAGGCGGCUCUCUGGGACGGUACUGACGCUGAGGAGCGAAAGCGUGGGGAGCAAACAGG